UACGUAGGGGGCAAGCGUUGUCCGGAUUUAUUGGGCGUAAAGAGCGUGUAGGCGGCCAGGUAGGUCCGUUGUGAAAACUCGAGGCUCAACCUCGAGACGCCGAUGGAAACCAUCUGGCUAGAGUCCGGAAGAGGAGAGUGGAAUUCCCGGUGUAGCGGUGAAAUGCGCAGAUAUCAGGAGGAACACCGGUGGCGAAGGCGGGGUCUCUGGGCCGAUACUGACGCUGGAGGAGCGAAAAGCCGUGGGGGGAGCGAAACAGG
rnacentral:rRNA from 1 species